CAGUAGCCGCGGGAAUACAGAGGGUGCGAGCGUUAAUCGGAUUUACUGGGCGUAAAGCGUGCGUAGGCGGCUUCUUAAGUCGGAUGUGAAAUCCCUGAGCUUAACUUAGGAAUUGCAUUCGAUACUGGGAAGCUAGAGUAUGGGAGAGGAUGGUAGAAUUCCAGGUGUAGCGGUGAAAUGCGUAGAGAUCUGGAGGAAUACCGAUGGCGAAGGCAGCCAUCUGGCCUAAUACUGACGCUGAGGUACGAAAGCAUGGGGAGCAAACAGGAUUAGAUACCCCCGUAGUCCUGUCUCUUAUACA
rnacentral:rRNA from 1 species